AGGCGCGGCGCCGUCCGGCUGCUCGCCCUGGCUGCUCCCGCGCCGUGACGGCAAGCUGUCCCGGUUUCCCCCUCUGCGGUAACACCUCCCACCACUCCACCCCCCUUCCCACCCGGUGGCGCACAAGCGGUUUUCUUUCCCCCAGCUCGCGAUCCGUUUCCCGACGCCGUCGGCCCCAGGUCAGUGCUGCCGCCGCUGUUGCCGCCGACCGCUGGCCCGAGUUGCGACCCGAUCCACAUAAUGAGCGGGAAGUCAUCCAUUGGCUCGCCGUUGUCCGUUCAGAGCUCCGCGAGGUCGCUCCGCUCUCGUCGUCGUCGCCCCAGGUCAGUACCUGCCGUAGUGCCGCCACUGCCGUUGCCGUUGACCGCCGGCUGGAGUCCUGCGACCCGAUCCACCUAACGCGUGGGACCUCACCCAUUGGCCCCUGCCUUCCGCUCCGCUGAAGCUUCAUCCGCACGGCGCCGACUGGCUCAAGAGGCAAGAUUCACUGUGGCAGCUCGGCUCGUAAUCGUCACCAGAAGCUGUCGAUUUCUUCCGAGGUUUCCUCGCCACCCACCCCCUCCUCCAUCCGAUUCCCUGUGCUUCUCCCUGAUUUUCCAUAGAGGCUUGUGUAGGUAAUAGCUCUUUUUAAUUCCCGUGUGUACAAGAAGGAACAUCAAUAUCAAGCAGGUCGAACAGCACAGAUGGGUGAGGACAGAUCCCUCAGCUCCAUGCUAAGGUCUCUUCCUCAUCGGUUGUUUUUCAUUGGAGGCAAUAGUGAGAUCGAUGAACUGCUCAUUCCCCUUCCCCUGUUCUUUCCUGUAAUACAUCGGUCUCACAUUGACCAAGAUUGAACAACUAUCUGUAUCCUCUACAAAUCAAAGAUCUCGUGCACUAAAUUGCUCAAUUCCUCCGAUUCACCCUCUGUCCUCGAAUCCCCACAGCCACUGAUCCAUUCCUCUUCAUAUCAAUCUUUUCUGAAUCGAAUUAGUUUGCUUCUUUUUUCUAGGCACGGCAGCUAGUUAUUUAAGUAUUCAUGGAUUAAUUGAGUUGUUCAUAACUUAAUUUCGGGUUUGCAAUUUUGUUCAGGCUGUAAAUUUUGGUGAAAUCUUUUGUGACCACAUGGGUUACGUUGGAAAGGAAAUUCAGAUCCCAUGUAUAUGGAUCAGCGACGAUGGCCACACGAGUGUUGGACGGCCACACGGCAGCUUGCUGUUCCCUCACUGGAGCUGCACAUUUCUACAGAUGAGUCUUCACUGAUGUCGGUGCCCCUCUUUUCUCAAGUUCAUUUGUUUUCCCCUGCUGUUGCUAGAUUGCCCUUGUUUUUUUUUUUGAUAGGUAGAUUGCCCUUGUUGGUGGCGAUGAUUUGUGAUAAUGGUUUAGAGGUUGGACAAAGAAGUCAAGUAGGGGCAUGCCUGUUGGUGCUUUCAGUCAAUUAGCCUUGAUUACCCAUGUGCAUCUGCUGUACACCAUCCUAAGUGCUGGCUGCUGUUGUCUUCUCUGUCCAUUGUGAAGAUCAGCUACAAGAGCAAGAAUGAGAUGCGUAUGUGCUCAUAUGUGAGCUUACGUUCCUGAA